rnacentral:rRNA from 1 species
GACGAACGCUGGCGGCGUGCCUAAUACAUGCAAGUAGAACGCUGAAGAGAGGAGCUUGCUCUUCUUGGAUUAGUUGCGAACGGGUGAGUAACGCGUAGGUAACCUGCCUUGUAGCGGGGGAUAACUAUUGGAAACGAUAGCUAAUACCGCAUAACAAUGGAUGACACAUGUCAUUUAUUUGAAAGGGGCAAUUGCUCCACUACAAGAUGGACCUGCGUUGUAUUAGCUAGUAGGUGAGGUAAUGGCUCACCUAGGCGACGAUACAUAGCCGACCUGGGAGGGUGAUCCGCCAAACUGGGAAUGAGACACGGCCCAGACUCCUACGGGAGGCAGCAGUAGGGAAUCUUCGGCAAUGGGGGCAACCCUGACCGAGCAACGCCGCGUGAGUGAAGAAGGGUUUCGGAUCGUAAAGCUCUGUUGUAAGUGAAGAACGGGUGUGAGAGUGGAAAGUUCACACUGUGACGGUAGCUUAACAGAAAGGGACGGCUAACUACGUG